UACGUAGGGUGCAAGCGUUGUCCGGAAUUAUUGGGCGUAAAGAGUUCGUAGGCGGUUUGUCGCGUCCGUUGUGAAAGCUUGGGGCUCAACCCCAAGUCCGCAGUGGAUACGGGCAGACUAGAGUCAGGUAGGGGAGAACGGAAUUCCUGGUGUAGCGGUGAAAUGCGCAGAUAUCAGGAGGAACACCGAUGGCGAAGGCAGGUCUCUGGGCCGCAACUGACGCUGAGGAGCGAAAGCAUGGGGAGCGAACAGG
rnacentral:rRNA from 1 species